ensembl:lincRNA
AUGGUCUUGAGGGAGGGGAGACACGUAAAGAAGCCUCACUGGAGGUUGGUGUUGGUCGUUUCAGGUGCCCUCAAGUGGAAGGAAGACCUUUCCAGAAAGGCAGCUGAGGCCUUUCUGAGGCAGCAGGAAGCAGCUCCAAACCUCCGAAAGCUUAUUUAUGGGACAGUGACAGAAGAUAACGAAGAAGAUGAUGAUGAUACCCGAGAAGAACUUGGAGGGCUAUUUCACGUCAACCAGCCUGACAGAGAGCGUAAACACAAGCCUGCCUCUUUGGACUGCUCCAGAUUUCUUGUGGAGGCGCCCCUUGACUGGGAUUUAGAGGAGAUAUGGCUUUGGAGUCCGACCCUUCUAACCAUCCAGAAGCAAGGAAAUCUCAAACAGAUGUGCACGAAAAAAGACAAAGCAGCUAUGCAAACCAUUGUGGCCUUGGAGAUAUAUUAUCAUAUCAAGCAAAGAGAUGCCGAUAGAACUUUGGGCAUCUUUGAUGAACGGUUACACCCAUUUACACAAGAAUGGCUUCUGGAGGAAUACUUUAAGUAUGAUCCUGGACACAAAUUGAUUUUCACAUUUCUUCGUACUCUAUUUAAAGCCAAAAGGCUAACAGCUGACUUGGCAAUCAGAAGUUUGGUAUACAUCGAAAGACAUAAGUUAUGCCGAUAUCAACAUUUGUCCAACCAACUGGAAAAGGAUUGUCUUCGGAGCCACUCUUCUUGCCGUCAGGGUUGGGCACAAUGUGGCUGUGUGCCAUGAGCACUACUGCAAGCUCUUUGAGAACAUUACAGUUGAUGAUAU